rnacentral:rRNA from 1 species
CCGGCACGGGUGAGUAACACGUAUCCAACCUGCCGUCUACUCUUGGACAGCCUUCUGAAAGGAAAGGAUUAAUACAAGAUGGCAUCAUGAGCCGCAUGUUCACAUGAUUAAAGGUAUUCCGGUAGACGAUGGGGAUGCGUUCCAUUAGAUAGUAGGCGGGGUAACGGCCCACCUAGUCUUCGAUGGAUAGGGGUUCUGAGAGGAAGGUCCCCCACAUUGGAACUGAGACACGGUCCAA